GUGUCCGAAAGCGUUUUUUCAUUUUACCAAUGAGCUCGCUAUAUAUUCCUCUAUAUAGUAAUUCCCUAUAUAGGGAGUAGGAAGUAGUGAACGAAUGAGUGAGCGAUUUCAGACACAGGGACUCUUUGCCUCAAUCUUGGGCCUCUCCAUGGCAAUGGUGAUGCAGUUGAGGAAGAUAAUAACAAGCACCACAUGGUCAAACAUCUUGUGCGUGAUGAUUUUAUUGCAGCUCACACGAAUCCUCCGCUGCAUUUUGAACCAGCUGAAGUCGUUUGAUGGUCUUUUUUGGCAGGCCUGUGAAAAGGCCAUUGCAGUAAUCAACCCUUCUAGAGAUGAAGGUAUGUAUUAGUUUUUCCAGAUCAUUUUUUGACAUAAGUCCUCUUAGUUUGGAAAUGUUUUUUAGGUGAUAAAAUGCCAUUUUAGUGAUUGCUUUCAUGUGACUGUCAAAGUUUAGCUCGCUGUCAAUGAAAACACCAAGAUUUUUAACCAUUUCUUUUGUUUUAAUCCCCUUUGUGUCAAGAAUAGUGGUAAUCCUGAGUCUUUCAUCUUUUUUUCCAAAUAGAAUUAUUUCUGUUUUAUCUGUGUUCAGCUGAAGAAAAUUUUGUGACAUCCAGUUGUUGAUUUGAUCGAUAAACUGGUAGAGACAUUCAAGGGGGGCAUAAUCAUUAGGUGAUAGAGCAAGAUAAAUUUGGGUAUCAUCUGCAUAGCAGUGAUAUAAAGAACCACCUACUCUUCUGGGGAAAAAAAGGGGGGGGGGGGCAGCCCAAGAUUUAAGAAAUUCAGUUUCAUGGUACUGACCGGAGUCUUGUCAUGGCAGCCAGGCUCCACAGAAACAUUGCUGCCCCUGCGUGACUCGUAGCCCAGAGCGAGGUCUUCUCCUCCUGAGAUCUUGGGCACAGGCAUGGGUGUAGCAGCCGUGUGGGUGAUAAGAGGAGGUGUAAGGCUGGCCUUCAGAUCCACAUGGCCAUUGAUGGGCACUACUACAAUCAAGAGUGUCAGGAAGUGGUAGGACACACACAGUGAACAUCAGAUUCCUCUACAAGACAUGGCAUAUAGCUGAAAAAUACAUGAGGUACAUUUUCUAGCAUAAAUGUUUCAGCAUGCCCUUAGCCCCUAGUAAAGCAAGGGUUCAAAGCACAGAAUAUAACCAGAGAGGAAAUAAGGUCAGACAUCUGAGCUCACACAAUGUUUGGUGCCAAUACAGCACAGUAAAGUAAUAAUAUAAAUGUUUCUUUUUUUCAAUAAUAAUAAUAAUAAUAAUACAGAGAACACAAUUUGUGCAAGGGAAUGAUCUCACCAGAUGAAGCCGACACAUCUUUUUUGCUUCUGCACACAUCAUCAAUGCUUUGUGUAUAGAAAUCUGCUUCUGAGCCCGACUUGGAGCCAUCCCCCUUAGGUGGAAAGAGAAAAGGUGUUAGCACAGGACAGGAGGGUGAAUCAGAGCAGUGUGGAAACAGGUAUCAUAGAUAGGAAGUUUCGUGCAAGUCUGGCCUUCCAAUCCCAGCAGCCCUCACACCUAAAGGUCAGAGAGCGACUGUGAUCCAUGGGAGAGUCAUGCAUGGACAGUCUCAGUCUGCAGUGCAGCACCACUCUGAAACCACUGUCAUCACUGAAUUAGCUGUUUGCUUAUACAAGGUCUAAAUAUUUUUCAAAUGGAUCACUCACAUGUAUUUCUGAGAAGAUGAUCUCAUGAUUAGACCAUCUGCUUUAUUUGUGUAAAUAUGAAUCCACAUGGUGUUGAAUAUGUGCGGGUUUUUUUUUUUCCCCGGCCCACUGGAAGAACAGCAUUAGUAGAACAGACACAUUCAAUAAUCGCACUGUAGAAAUAAACUCUGCUAUUUUUAUCAGAAGCUUGUGUCUCUUUAUUUUUGCUUGUAUCCCCCUCCCUCUACGGUCUCCAUAAACCCAGUGUUUCAGUGUGGUCUAGCGCAAAACUUCAGCCUUGGGUGGUUUGUCAGAACAGCAGCACCAGUUAAGAAUUCCUCUCUCUCUCUCUCUCUCUCUCUCUCGCCUUCAACAGCAUUCCAUUUCAUUCCUUCUGUCAUUGUACAAAUACAGUGAAACUGCAACCUUAUUCUAUUAAUGCAACAUGAGAAAAUGAAAAGGAUAUACAACAAUACUGAAAAGUAGUGUUGUAGUACUUGAGACCGGUCUCAAGACCACUUUUCGAAGGCCUUGGUCUCGUCUCGGAAUAGACCGCAUUUUUACUCGGUCUUAUCUCAGUCUCAGACAUAGUGGUAUUGGGAUUUUAUUUCAAUAGCGGUCAAGACCACAACUACGGAGAUAUCAGUAAAUUGCCUAUGCAUUGUCUGAUUUAUUUGUUAACAUUGCUACUGUGAUUGGAUGUAAAACUUCUUGCUUCAAAUGCGACCAAUAACGUGACUCAUUGCUAAUUUGAAAUUUUCAUUACUGUUAACAGCCGUCACCCCUCCCCACCCCCUUCACACACAUUGAUCUGGUCCUGGUCUUGACUUGGUCUCACCCAGCCUUGCUCUUGGUCUUGACUUGGUCUCAGCCCCUCAAAGUUUUGGUCUUGUCUCAGUCUCGAUAUACUCUGGUCUUGUUCAUGACAUA